GCUAAUGGGGUAGGAUCCGACGCCUCGCUGGAAGGCUAACAUAGGCUCUCCUACUCAACUCCCAGACCGGCACGUCCACGUCGUGCAGAGCGGUCACAUGCGUUGCCAAGGGGUGCAAGGGUUGGUUGGUCCCUUUUCUUCUCUGGUCAAGAAGAAGCUGGUAACGCAUGGCCAAGCCGGAGGGAGGGGUAGUGAAGGAAGGAAGUCAAGGAAGAGAUGGGCCGCCUCUCCUUUUCUACUUCCAACACUACCUAACGGUUCCUGACGACCAAAGUGGGGAGGCUCGUGCCCCGGUCUCACUGCAAUUGGAAUAACGAUCGAACGAACGUCGGAACAUCCAUUGAAUACCUUUAAUCGUCUUUCUUUGCAAAGAUCAACACGCAAGCAUUCCAUCCAUAGGCUUCUGGGUAGCCUCAACUUUACGCGGAAACGAUAGAACGCUGAUGACAAGUUGUUACACAACUAAAGUUGUAAACACUUGCCAGCUUCUAAUCCGUUCUCUGAGGCACUCACCGAUUGUGUUGUUCUUGUAAAGUGGAUUGACAAUAAGUUGUUGGUAAUGGACUACCACUGAAAUCAUCGGUAACAUGUCGCGAGUGUGCUUUCUUAUAUAUAGAUAAAGUGUGUUUGUGUGUGUGAUAAAGUUUGUUAAUGUAGGUUUACAUUAUAAUAUAUAAAUAUUAAAUGUAGAAAAUAAGUAUCAUCGGAAUCGUAUUCUUGCUUCAACACUUGAGUGGAUCAAUUUUAAAUACCAGCUCAUCUGUUGUUGGUGAAAGAAACUUAAAGCAUCGAAAGAAGCCUGUCAACGCUCAACCCAUCCAGUCUAUCAACUCAACAUCAUCAUCAACUCAACACCUUGCUGCAUUCUACCGAUGCUUCCUUAAUCGCUCGAAAGCAUCUCCUCAAUCAGCUCAACUACAACAUUCACCCAUUUGAGAGUGGCAUUAUCCAGUUACUGCGAGGGUACGUACGCAUCUUCCAUCAUCGCUAGUCGUAAUUUAGUUAUAAGGAUUUACUGAAGCUCAUUGGGCGAUUCGUAUAUUAUUAGACAUUUAGUGUUACAUACCUCAUUUGUGUAAGAGGCCUUUAUUAUUUUCAAUUGAAAACAUUGCUUGGUGGACGAGAAUGUGGAAUAGAGUUAAAAGCAAACCCAUUUCUUAACCCAUCUUUUUCAAUUAGGAUAACAUCAUACUGUACACUUAUAUUCCUGAUGCAUUUUUCAUCAGAUAUGCAAGCAAAACUCGAUUAUAAAGAAAUGAAAACAUGCUCAUGCAACAAACCAUUCAAUUUGCGAGAAGUGGUAUCGAGCAUCGUUCGGGAAGCAACAUUCAACGAACACUAGUGAGCUCUUUUGCGAUAGUCAUCAGACGAGCAUUACUGAGGAAUCAUUAUUGCUCAUAUCUAGGCCGUUCCUCGUCUCGAGGAAUCUAAUGAUCACCUGUUUAAAGAACGUUGUAUUGUAAAACUUUUCUCUUUAGCUCAUCUCUCUGUGAUCGGAAUGAUCAUAUUCAUACAAUUAUCGUGAAGCUGUUUGCAUACCAUCAUAACGUUCCACUCUUUGUCCAACGGUAAAACACGCAGCCUUUUUAAAACAAAUCCGGCACGGCUUCAAUUGAUCAAUCAGUUCAA